GUACUGCAGAUUUUUUUUUUUCUUUGUGACUAGUUGAUGAUCCAUCAUCAUAAAUAAUCACAUCACAACAUGCGACUUCAUAGCCGGUUGAAGACAUGUUUUUUUGUGGUGCUGCAACAGCAAGAAAAAAAAAAUGUUCUUGAAUUAAAAAAAUAAUAAAAAAAAUAAUAAUAAAAAAUAAAAAAAAAAGGAAAAAAC
rnacentral:ribozyme from 1 species